CUGAACCUGUGAAUCUGAGUGGUAUGUGUGCAUGUGAGCCACAUAGAUAAGUUCAUGUAUUGCUGGCACUCUAGGAAACACUCUCCACUGCAUGCUGAACAUGUGUAGGGACACCUUGCCCAUAUUCAGGUACUUAUAGGGCAUGGAUAUGGGAAGCUUCCUUACUGUCCUUGAGCUCUGGAUUCCCUGCAUAAGUAAGGUGGUCCUUGUGCCAUCAAGAUGGUGUAACUUCCUCUCCCCAGUCUCUAGCCUUGAUCUGAACUAGAUCUGAGCACGCCAGCCCUCUGCGUGGUAACCAUUGUCCACAUCACAGUGGCCAGGUAAUCUCAAGAGCUUUCUCAGCUGUGUGGUAUAUGUUCCAUGCUCUAAAUCAAUCAGUGAAGCUCACACCAUUUACUAUUUGAACUCUACCACUGUAUGUUGCUGGGAACUAGGUGUUAAAUUCACUCAAAAAUAGGCUGUCAGUUUUUUUGGUUCCCAGAUUUAGUGCAGAAAGCUGAAACUAUAUUCUAAUGUGUUGAGCUCCACUUUGGUGCUUCAUAAAAAUUGUUCUGAAUGUUUUCAACCUAGGGGUACUAUACCAAAGUAGUAGAGCUAUAUCUAAGGAAUAACUUUGGUAAUGUGAGCUUGGUUUGUUGCUGUGUAAAAACUGGAGAAAAGGUUAGCUAAAGUUGGACUGUCAGGCUGAAUACAACUGAAUUUUUUUUAUUCAGUUCUGUGAACUGAAUUGCAGCAGUAUGCAUAGUUUGGAAUUCAUUUGUGACUGAUUCAUGGGGUUUUGGAUUAAAGUUUACAUAGCAAAACUGGAGACCAUAGUAAAGAGAGUAAGUUUUGUAAAGUGUGGUGGACUUGGUUCCACAUAAAUUUGGAAAUAAAAGUGGCCAAAAGGUGGACUGUCAGGUGUUAGGAUUCAGACUUAGAAUAAUAUUUGUCUGAAUUUGUGUGUUUAUUCAGUUUUGGGUCCUUGUGGUAAUUAAUCCCAGAAGAAUUAGGGUAAGAAUGCUAUAGCAAAGUAAAAGACCAUGUAAAGGAGAGCAAGUCUCAUGCAAAGUGUUGGCUUGCUACUUUGUAGAAUUUGGAGAAAAAGGAGUGACAAAACUCUCUGUCAGACCUAGUAAUGUGUUGUUUCAGAUUGGGAAAAUGGAAUUUCCGUGUGUUUGCUCAACUUUAAUGCACCCUAACGCUUGGUAUGUAUGGUUAUAAGCUAAAGACCUUACAGAAGAGAUUUGUAGCUGUGUUGGGUGAAAAAGUUUCUUACAGAGAAAUAAGUUUGGAGCUGUAUAAAAUUUAGAAUAAAAUGUGCCUAAGUUUCUUCUGUCAGUCUGUGUGAGAUGUCUGUUUCAGAAAACUGAAAACAAGUUUAGUGGAAGGUGGCUGAAUUUUGGUCACCUUAACUUGUAGUACAUGCAGUUUGGAUCCUUGCUUAAGGCAUAAAUGAAGCACUUGGUUGGUUAUAGAGGCAAGGUUUUCUAGUUUGGUUGGUGAAUUGUGUUGUGAUAUUAGAGUAUUUAGCUCUCUUAAGGUUUUGUUAGUUUUUGUGUGCACCUUUAGAGAGGUAUAAGUGUUGUGAUGUUUUUUAGUAUUUUCUUUUCAAGUUGCAUAAGCAUAAACAUCCAUGAUCAUGUCGUUUCAUAUAGAACUCCUACCAGAAGGAGUGAAGAUUCAACCUGAAGUGGUGACUGAAGAGGAAUCUACUCCAGUGGCUGCUGAUCAAGUGGAGGAGCCAUCUAACUGGGUUUAAUAGAGGGAUCUAGAACCUCUUCAAUGCAACAAAGGCAAGCCCCGGUGCAUGCAACCCCUUCCUUGUGUUUUUAAAUUAUUUUUAUACACUUUAAGUCUAGUGAAUGUGCAUUAGGUUUAUAGGAGUUGCUUGGAAACCCUUUGAUGCAUUGCCUUCCUUGAUAUCCAUACCUUUAUAGAUACUUCUGAUGAAGUAUCAAAAUAUGAUUUACAAAAAUGCUUAGCCCUGCUCAGAUCUUGUGGAUAGAGGUUGUCUUUUGCAUUAAGGCCUAGCUCAGGGGUUAUCCUGGGAAAGAUGGCUUUUACCUGCAAGAAUAUUUUCAUUGAGAGCGUGGUGGAAUCUUACUGUAAAGUUCUCUUUGAUGCUCUUUUCAUCCUAAGGAAUAUAAACAAUCCUAAGGGUGGAAGUACUUAAAUCGGGACUUGGGCUAGGAACAGGUGAUGUUCUACCCAGGUUGAUUAAGGAUUGAAUGCGUAUGUAGGCUUGCUGAUCAAGGACUAUCUUAACUAGCCACAUGCCCUGGAUAUGGGACAGGGUAAGCUUUGCCUUGGGCAGACUAAUACCAGAAUAAGAUAACACGCAAUGGGAGUGGAGAGAUGGCGAGAGUAGCGUGUCCCCUCCGUGGCAAGAGGCUGGACGGUGGUGUAUCUGUGCUCUCGGUUGGCGUGAACUUGAUCUGGUCUUAAGAACCCCAGUGGCGAGUUGACAUAUGCAAGGGUUAAGUGCUACAUAUGUCGUGUGGUUAGAGAUCCUCAGCUGAGUAAAUCGAUUCGGAUCGUCGUUAUAUCCCCGGACAGUGGAGACUUGGUCACUGCCCUACAACCUAAGUCAGGAUGUGAACCUCAUGAAUAAAAAUGAUGUUGUAUUGAUGAGAUGGUGAAAUUAGACCAGAUGCAAACAGAGUCUAUUAAUAUUUAAUCUGGCGUUAAAAUAUUGAACGUAAGGACUCACUUUAGUAAGCUAUUUCUGCAAAAGUAUCUAAUUUGAUUCUUGCUAAAACUUUUCCUUGAUUCCCAAAUCCAGCAUACCCUUGAAAGUCUUUUCUUUAGUCAGGUAAGUCUUGCUGAGUAAUUCCGUACUCAGAGUUUUAUUCCCUAUUGUUUUUCAGGUCAUAGUUUUGUGCUGAUGAUGAUGGUGUUAAGUGCCGGUGGGCUCGGCCUUCUUAUAAGUUUAAGUAACUCUUCUAUACUUUUUAUUGAGGAUGGUCACUUGAGCUAGCAUAUAUUUCAAACUUAUACUUUUGUAAUCACUCCGAUGAAUAUAAUGAAAAAUUUUUGUAACCUGUAAAAUUUGGUAAUAAGAUUUUCGCUGCAAAAAUGUUGAUGUGUGUGAUUUGUGUUUACUUAAUCACGUGGUUCUGGUUGUAAGUGGUUUAUCUGGUGUCCUUGGGGCAAUCGGACGGAUCCUGUUAAGUUAGCUGGUGCACAGACAUAGCAGUCUGAGGUCUUUGAGACAAGGACAGGUGCAUGUGGGCCCAAUAACUUAGGAGGUUCUGCCACACGUUCGAUCACAAUCAAUGGCUCAGAUCAAUCCUCUCAACGGGUAUGCCAGGGAUCUGAUCGCCGCCGUACACCCCCACAUCCCAUGGCACACACGGUUUUCCCCCAACCCUUUCUUCUUCCCUGGGCACCACGGAUUGAACACGGCGGCCAGGGAACCCACCAUGGCGGACACCAUGGCAGAGCACGUGUCACGACGCAAGCUCGACUCCCCGAUUCAAAAGAGCGACAUGCAGAGGAGAAUGCUACGAAUAACAUGGAUAGGUUGAUCACCUGCAAUCGGCUGCAGAGGAGCCCGCCCACGGUGCGAGCGGAACCCACGGUGGAGCACCAACUCCGGCGUGAAAUCGCGGGUUCCCCGAUCGGCAAUCCCAUCUAGCGAAGCACCUUGUGCCAUCCAUGCCUCUAAUCAAAGCUCCCAGACCCACUGGUGGAAUCCCGAGCGGUAGCGUGGGCGAGUUCCACGGCGGUGGAACCACAACAUCGGCGCAAAGGCGACCGACCACCACAGUGCCCAAAACGUCGAUUAAACCGAGCUACGCAUAGAGGAGACAAUAGCGAACGUGGGGGAUGAGGACUCACCAGAGAAGGAGUCUGCGGAGAGGCUGACCACGGAGGACAGUGGGUUCGCGGUCUCCCGUGAAGAAAUCCCAAGCCUCGGGCGCCGGUUCAACGCGGCGAGGCCACAAUAACUUCUCCACGCACAGGUGGAGCUUCACGGCACGGCACUGGGGCAGCGACAACGACGAGCCCACCGGCGAUGGCAUAGCUCGGUUCUUUCUCUCUCUCUUCGUUCUCACCAUGGAAAUGGCGGCGCCACUAGCUUAACCCACGCCCCUUGUUGACCGCGACCCGCGGAUGGCUAGGGAAGAGGAGGUAUAGGGGGGUUUGGCCCGCUUUUGUAGCCGGUCGAGGGGAGUCCAUGGGCGCAGGGGUAUCGGGCGGCGUAACAACAUGCCCGAGAUGCCCGGCGAGGAAGAGAAACUGGGGAAAGGGUGGGUCCCAUGCGCCAGAGAGGAAUGGAUCAGCUGGCGCGCGCGCGACUACGCGUGUAGUGACUGGUACACAGGCCCCAUGCAUCAGAGUACGUGAGCGUUGGUCGUGUGUGCGUGGCUGAGACGGGCAGGUGGGGCCCGCGCGACGGCGCCUUGCAGCGCGAUUCAAAGCUGGGCUGCGCGGAGAAAGGAAUUAGUUGGGCCGCGCGGGAGGUAAGGUGGGCCGGCAGGUGAAUCUUGGCCCAAAGUAGGUGAGUUCUUUCCUUUUUUCCAGUUUUAUUUUAUUUUCAAAUUUCGAAUUUAGAAUUCAAAUUUCAAAUCUGCAACAAUCCAAAAAUUACUAAUCAUAACAAAAAUCUAUUAUCACUUUAUUUUUUUUAUCCUUACUUAAGUUAAUGAUUUUAGGUAUGCCACUCAUACAUACAAAAUAGGCAUUUAACAACAUAAUUCCUAGUUGGAUAGAAUCUCAUAGAAAGAAAUUUUUAAAUACAUAUUUGAACAAGGUAAUAAUUUAGUUUUACAUAUAGACUCUUUUUCUUAACCUUUAUUAGGUAACAUACUUUAUUUUAUUGUUC
rnacentral:lncRNA from 1 species